AACAACUCAAAUCCUAAAAACGUUAAAUUUUUUAAAUCAUAAAAUCCUUCUACCCAAUCUGAACUCUGCAUGUUAUGAUUGACAGUUUCAAAGGCUAAAUCAAUCCUUGAUCCGUAUUCACCAUCAUAAACGAUGUCGGCGGUGUUAUUGUCGUAGAUUGCUCUCUGUUGAUAUCGAGUGAACGAACCAUGUUUCCACUACAGAACUGUUGAGCACUGAGAAGAAGGUGAUCUCACCAUGUAAUCGUUGGAGUUUACAAUGUGUUGACGCAUGAUGAUUAGCAAGUUCAAUCGCCUUUCACGAAGAUCAUUUGGAACAAAGUAUCACUUUUCGUAUGAAGACUGCUCAAAAAUAGGCUCCCAACAAAAGAUAACUUAGUUAGACGUUGAUUUCUUCAUCCAUGAUCUCUGUUAUGUUUGGGUUGUUGUGGUAUGGAGGAAUCAAAGAAUCAUUUAUUUUGUACUAUAUAUAACUUUUCAGAGAUGUUUGAUCAUUCAUUUCAAAGUGGUUAGGGAUUUCUAGUGCGCCUCCAUCUGAAAUUGUCAUGCAUGCUACACAGUUUGGUGACAACUAUUUUUUCGAAAGGACAUUUGCAUCUGUCUUCAAAUUAUUUGGUUGGAACUUGGAUUAUUUGAAAGGAACACAACAUUAAGAUCUU
rnacentral:lncRNA from 1 species